GACGAACGCUGGCGGCGUGCUUAACACAUGCAAGUCGAGCGGUAAGGCCCUUUCGGGGGUACGACGAGCGGCGAACGGGUGAGUAACACGUGGGUGACCUGCCCUUAGCUCUGGGAUAAGCCUGGGAAACUGGGUCUAAUACCGGAUAUGACUCCAUGACGCAUGUUGUGGGGUGGAAANCCUUGUGCGGCUAGGGAUGGGCCCGCGGCCUAUCAGCUUGUUGGUGGGGUGAUGGCCUACCAAGGCGACGACGGGUAGCCGGCCUGAGAGGGCGACCGGCCACACUGGGACUGAGACACGGCCCAGACUCCUACGGGAGGCAGCAGUGGGGAAGUCUUGCGCAAUGGGCGAAAGCCUGACGCAGCGACGCCGCGUGAGGGAUGACGGCCUCGG
rnacentral:rRNA from 1 species